rnacentral:rRNA from 1 species
UACGUAGGGUGCAAGCGUUGUCCGGAAUUAUUGGGCGUAAAGAGCUCGUAGGCGGUUUGUCGCGUCUGCUGUGAAAACCCGAGGCUCAACCUCGGGCCUGCAGUGGGUACGGGCAGACUAGAGUGCGGUAGGGGAGAUUGGAAUUCCUGGUGUAGCGGUGGAAUGCGCAGAUAUCAGGAGGAACACCCGUGGCGAAGGCGGGUCGUCUGGGCCGAUACUGACGCUGGAGGAGCGAAAGCGUGGGGAGCGAACAGG